GUGGUCCCUUCGGUAGCACAUAUGCUAAAAUUAGAAUGAUACAGAGAAGAUUAGCAUGGCCCCUGCGCAAGGAUGACAGGCAAAUUCGUGAAGCGUUCCAUAUUUAA
ensembl:snRNA U6 U6 spliceosomal RNA